rnacentral:lncRNA from 1 species
GUCCAUGGGAAAGAAAGGCAUAAUCGAGCCAGCACAACAGGGUGCCCAUGGGAGAGACAAUUUGGGUGAAAUGUAGAAGAUGGGGAAUUUUGGCUGAGAAGCACACACCUGAGAGGAGUGGUGUCUUGGAAGAUUCAGAAGUGGGAAGGGUGUAGUGUGCGUCUUCUCCUGGAGUAAAAUAGAACACAUGCCCCGGCACUGCCUUCCAAGGGGUUCAAACAGUCUUCAGCAUGGAGCCAAAGUACAUCAUAUACAAGGAUCAGUGUUCAAGAUGGGAUGGCUGUAACAAAAGCAGGAAAAGUCAGACAGCUUGACGCAUUGACUUGAACUCCAUGUUUGAAGAAGGGGUAGUCACAGCCUCCAUGUGGUGUGGCAUUCAUGAUGCAGUGCCCAGAACAGGCUGUCAGCUGGCCACUGCACCCAUUUGACUCUCUGGAUCAUAGCAACUCCGGGGUGAAAGUUGCUUGGAGCUGUGCUUUGGAAAGCCUAUGUGAAUAAAUGUUUCCUGAUUCUAAAGCUCCGCAGUGAACGGAGGACCGUGUCCUUGCAGGGGAACCAGAGAAGGAGCUGCUUUCCCUGCUCAGGACUCUUGUUUGCUAAUACAAGUGUGUAGUGAAAGCAAACAAACCAAGUGCCUGCCAUAUUCGUGAGAAUACCUAAAAGAGUUGUCAGGCUCAGUGGUCACAUCCUGAAGCAUCUUCAACAGGGGUCCUGAUGCCUGGGACUCGCCACCAGAAGGAAAUACAACAGAGGGACUAAUUGAUUCAUUGGAAGGUGUUUCUAACUGUAUUUUCUGAUGAAUUUGUCACCUGGAUGUUUGUGGGAAGGAACCAUUGGAUAGUUGUGGCUGUCACACUGCCGACUGUCUCUCAUUUUGUCACUGUACAGGACAUGAGAUGUCAGGAGCGAUGGGACACCAGAGGCGGAAGAACCUAUGUCCCCAGGCUACAGCAAAGCUCCCAGCCCUAUGAAAAUCAUCUAGCCUGCUCUGAGCCACAUGCCUAGAGGUCACAGAGGCAUGCGGGAAAGUGAGAGGAAGUGGAAACGUGCUACAAAAAGGGCUCAAAGCAAUGUGCUCACCACCG